rnacentral:snRNA from 1 species
GUGCUCGCCUCGGCAGCACAUAUACUAAAAUUGGAACGAUACAGAGAAGAUUAGCANGGUUCCUGCACAAGGAUGGCAUGCAAAUUCGUGAAACGUUCUAUUUUUUU